GGUAGAUGAAGAAAUUUAACAUUUGUGAAGAAGAAAGAGAUUGAGCUUCUUUUUUUUAUUUUUAAAUAUGAAGAAUAUGUAUAAGAUAAUGCACUGGGGUGGGGGUAACUUCCUAUUAUUGGGUAUACGGGGAUGUGCCAAAAAUAUGGGUCAUAAUUUUGCGAGAUUUUAUAUAAAAAUGACCCUCCUUUUUAAUGACAUCCUAUAUUAAAAUGCAUUUACGUUUGAUAAUUGUAUAUUGAUUUGGGGUAUGAUCUACAUAUCAUAUAUAAAUAUGCUAUUGAUAUGUGCACCAAACAAUGUCAAUUCAUAUAUAAAAACUUAAGGGUAGCUGGUAUAUUUAUGAAUUAUGAGUGAUGAUGAGUUAGUGCUUAUAUAAGCAUGGGUCAAAUAUUGUAUAUAAGUAUAUGUCAUUCUUUCUUAAAUAUUUAUAUAACUAUAGGUACUGAAUUUCAGUGAAUGUUAUAUUAAAAUGGGUACGUUUUUUGAGACAAAAAUGGCACACCCCUACCAAAAAAAUAUUGAAGUAACCCCCCCUCCCCCCCCCUCCCCGUGAGAUAAUGUAUGUAUCUGUUUUCAUCAAAGUCAAAGUAUGAAUAAACGAAUGGCGAUAUAUAUGGAGCGGGC
rnacentral:lncRNA from 1 species